UUCAGACCUUUUGCACAACGUAGCAACGCCCACUUCCGCUCAACUUCCUACCCGAUCGCGUCCUGUCAGCCUAUUUGUAGCCAUACUAGCCAACGCCCUCCUACCUCACCAACCAUGGCACUGUUUUACUCAAGGCGCUUGCCAGAGCUGCCAAAGAUAACAGUGACGGAUGUACCUCGUCUGGCCAAGACAAGUAGCAAAGCACCGACCUCCAAGUUGGAAAAAGGAUGUAAACUGUGUCUCCAGUUACCUUUUCAACUACGAAGGGACAAAGUGACGGGAGAGGUCAGCGUAAGGGCUUCCUGCUACAGGUCCAUGAGGAAAAAUGAGAAACCACUCAGUGUGUAGUGUGAAAAGUCAGCUGUUUGUGACACUAUAUGCAGGUUACACAGUCAGAGAUGAAGCCUAGUCUUAGACUACGAAGUUUCUGUCAAUGGAGAUCUGCAUUAAUCUCUAGGACUAGGCAUAACCCAUGUUUAUGAAGGCUAGUAUGGCUACAAACAGGCGGACAGGACAGGACGAGAUCGGGUAUGAAGUUGAGCAGAAGUGGAGCGUUGAGACUUUGUUCAAAGAAUGAUUGCCAUUUCUUCAAACAAACUCUCCCACUUGAUUAGAAUUUUCCACCACAAGAUUCACCUUCCAGCAGGACAACAACCCUAAGGACACAGGCAAGACAACGAAGGAGUGGAUUCAUGACAAGUUUCUGAAUGUCCUGAGUGGCCCAGCCAGAGUCUGGACUUGAACCCAUUUGAACAUCUCUGGAGAGAACUGAAAAUAGCUGUGCAGCAAUGCUCCCCAUCCAACCUGACAGAGCGCGAGAGGGUCUGCAGGGAAGAAUGGGAAAAACUCCCCAAAUACAGGUGUGCCAAGCUUGUAGUGUGGCUGUAAUCGAGGCUGUAAUCGCUGCCAAAGUUGCUUCAACAAAGUACUGAGUAAAGGGUCUGAAUACCUAUGUAAAUGUUAUUUAAGUUUUGUAAUUUUACAACAUUUGCAAAAAAAAAUGUUAAACUUGUUUUUGCUUUGUCAUUAUGGGGUAUUGUGUGUAGAUAGUUUUUUUCCUCAAUUUAAUUAUUUUUAUAAUAAGGCUGUAACUUAACAAAAUGUGGAAAAAGUCAAGGGGUUUGAAUACUUUCCAAAUGCACUGUACAUGGGAUCAGGCACAGCAGCCUUCCAGUGUCAAUAAUGGUUACUUUUUCCAUGUAAGCUAUAAGUCAUGAAAAUGUAAUUAAGUCAUAGAAAAAUGUUUAUGAACCCUUAACAGUGGAUUAUCAAAGGUCUCUACAGCAUAAUGUAAUUUGUGAAUGUCGGUGAAUAACUGAGCCACAUCAUAUUGUAAUUACUUCGCUACUAUGGCCUAUUUAUUGCCUUACCUCCUCACGCCAUUUGCAGACACUGUAUAUACACUUUCUUUUUUUCUAUUUGGUUAUUGACUGUACGCUUGUUUAUUCCAUGUGUAACUCUGUGUUUUUUGUGUCGCACUGCUUUGCUUUAUCUUAGCCAGGUCGCAGUUGUAAAUGAGAACUUGUUCUCAACUAGCCUACCUGGUUAAAUAAAGGUGAAAUAAAUAAAACAUGUGAAAAAAAUCACAAACCACUGGAUGUGUCAAUGUACUCAAUUACUGUAUUAAACAUUGUUUUUCUUCAUGGUGAUGGAAAGUCUACAGAUACAAACCUAGAUGACCAGCCUAUAUACAAUACAGUAAUGUUGUCAUGCCCUGACCAUAGAGAGCCCUUGGUUCUCUAUGGUGUAGUAGGUCAGGGCAUGACUAGGGGGUGUUCUAGUUCAAUAUUUCUAUGGUAAGCUGGUAAUCGUUGCCUCUAAUUGGGAAUCAUAUUUAGGUAGCCAUUUUUCCCACCUGUGUUUGUGGGAUAUUGUUUUGUGUAUGUGGCACCACUACUUUCAGGCUUCGUUGUUGGUUUUUUGUUUAUAGUUUCACCGUAAUAAAGAUGUGGAACUCAACACACGCUGCGCCUUGGUCCGUCUCAUUACGAACGUGACAGAAUAUCCAGCCAAGCAAGGACCAAGCAGCGUGUUCAUGAGGUUAAGGAGUUUUGGAC
ensembl:lncRNA